CCAACUGGCCCUGAGUGCUCCCAUGUCCUGGCCGUUUACACAUGCUAUGAAUUCUAAUGGAAGCAUACUUGCUGACCACCAGGUCAUCUCUGCUUAAUUCCCAGCCAGUAGGAACUCCAUGCAUUUUUAUUUGAAAAUGACAGCUGCAUUUCAUGUGAUUUCAAGACAAUGAGUCCCACUCAUUCAGCCCCUGGUGACGUCCUCGUGAAUUUUAGUGAAUCAAACAAUUCUCAUUCUACCUACCUUUCCCACCAGAGACUGAAAACCACCCGCCAUGAGGAGGGUGACCUUGGCCCAUUUGAU